AUUGAACGCUGGCGGCAGGCCUAACACAUGCAAGUCGAACGGUAGCACAGAGAGCUUGCUCUCGGGUGACGAGUGGCGGACGGGUGAGUAACGUCUGGGAAACUGCCCGAUGGAGGGGGAUAACUACUGGAAACGGUAGCUAAUACCGCAUAACGUCGCAAGACCAAAGUGGGGGACCUUCGGGCCUCACACCAUCGGAUGUGCCCAGAUGGGAUUAGCUAGUAGGUGGGGUAAUGGCUCACCUAGGCGACGAUCCCUAGCUGGUCUGAGAGGAUGACCAGCCACACUGGAAGUGAGACACGGUCCAGACCCCUACGGGAGGCAGCAGUGGGGAAUAUUGCACAAUGGGCGCAAGCCUGAUGCAGCCAUGCCGCGUGUAUGAAGAAGGCCUUCGGGUUGUAAAGUACUUUCAGCGGGGAGGAAGGCGGUGAAGUUAAUAACUUCACCGAUUGACGUUACCCGCAGAAGAAGCACCGGCUAACUCCGUGCCAGCCGCCGCCGUAA
rnacentral:rRNA from 1 species